GACGAACGCUGGCGGCGUGCUUAACACAUGCAAGUCGAACGGUGAAGGGACCAGCUUGCUGGUUCUGGAUGAGUGGCGAACGGGUGAGUAACACGUGAGUAACCUGCCCCCUUCUUCUGGAUAACCGCAUGAAAGUGUGGCUAAUACGGGAUAUUCUGGGUCUGUCGCAUGGCGGGCCCGGGAAAGAUAUUGCUUCGGUGGGGGAUGGGCUCGCGGCCUAUCAGCUUGUUGGUGGGGUGAUGGCCUACCAAGGCGGUGACGGGUAGCCGGCCUGAGAGGGUGGGCGGUCACACUGGGACUGAGACACGGCCCAGACUCCUACGGGAGGCAGCAGUGGGGAAUAUUGCACAAGGGGCGCAAGCCUGAUGCAGCGACGCCGCGUGAGGGAUGGAGGCCUUCGGGUUGUAAACCUCUUUCGCCAGUGAAGCAGGCCUGCUCCUUGUGGGUGGGUUGACGGUAGCUGGAUAAGAAGCGCCGGCUAACUACGUG
rnacentral:rRNA from 1 species